CGGGACACCACGAGCGUAGCUCUCAUCCUGUAACUACACUUAGGUAAUUACACACACACGUACACACUGAGACAAACACACAGACAGACACGGCCAUACAGACAGACACACAGAGAGCAAUGAAUCACAGAUCUCGCAGCCAAUAUUAUCACCCACAAUGUUAUCAUCGUCACACAAUGCUAUCAGCGAAGGGCCAUUCUUCCUUUGUGCCUUUGUGAUAGUCAGCCACCUCACUCGUCUCCCUGGCCACCAGCUGGCCUCUCCCGCCGGAGCCAGCACCUCUACCACAGUCUGAAGGUUCUCGUGGGUCCAGCACCUCUACCACAGUCUGAAGGUUCUCGUGGGUCAAGCACCUCUACCACAGUCUGAAGGUUCUCGUGGGGUCAAGCACCUCUACCACAGUCUGAAGGUUCUCCUGGGUCCAGCACCUCUACCACAGUCUGAAGGUUCUCGUGGGUCCAGCACCUCUACCACAGUCUGAAGGUUCUCGUGGGUCCAGCACCUCUACCACAGUCUGAAGGUUCUCGUGGGGUCAAGCACCUCUACCACAGUCUGAAGGUUCUCCUGGGUCAAGCACCUCUACCACAGUCUGAAGGUUCUCGUGGGUCAAGCACCUCUACCACAGUCUGAAGGUUCUCCUGGGUCCAGCACCUCUACCACAGUCUGAAGGUUCUCGUGGGUCAAGCACCUCUACCACAGUCUGAAGGUUCUCGUGGGUCCAGCACCUCUACCACAGUCUGAAGGUUCUCGUGGGUCCAGCACCUCUACCACAGUCUGAAGGUUCUCCUGGGUCAAGCACCUCUACCACAGUCUGAAGGUUCUCGUGGGGUCAAGCACCUCUACCACAGUCUGAAGGUUCUCCUGGGUCCAGCACCUCUACCACAGUCUGAAGGUUCUCGUGGGUCAAGCACCUCUACCACAGUCUGAAGGUUCUCGUGGGUCAAGCACCUCUACCACAGUCUGAAGGUUCUCGUGGGUCAAGCACCUCUACCACAGUCUGAAGGUUCUCCUGGGUCCAGCACCUCUACCACAGUCUGAAGGUUCUCGUGGGUCAAGCACCUCUACCACAGUCUGAAGGUUCUCGUGGGUCAAGCACCUCUACCACAGUCUGAAGGUUCUCCUGGGUCAAGCACCUCUACCACAGUCUGAAGGUUCUCGUGGGGUCAAGCACCUCUACCACAGUCUGAAGGUUCUCCUGGGUCCAGCACCUCUACCACAGUCUGAAGGUUCUCGUGGGUCAAGCACCUCUACCACAGUCUGAAGGUUCUCGUGGGUCUAGCACCUCUACCACAGUCUGAAGGUUCUCGUGGGUCAAGCACCUCUACCACAGUCUGAAGGUUCUCGUGGGUCAAGCACCUCUACCACAGUCUGAAGGUUCUCCUGGUGGUCUCUCACUUCGUUCCUCCGUCAGCUGUUAACGUUUAACAAGAGAAUCAGGACUUUCAGCUUCUCAGAACGACCUCAAUCGUUUAGUGUCAUUUUCAAGACAGAUUAUCUUGUCUAUCGUGUUGAAAAAACUAAAUCUACAUUAUUAAUGUUUUUUUUUCAAUUUUAACGGUGUGUUAUUUAUCUACUGACAGAGUUAAGAGUGCGGACAUUGGCAAGUCUUAAGAUAUUGAUGGUGACAUCUUACACAUGGCGUAAGAGCUUCUGCCACGACAGCUGAACCUGUUAUCACUGCUGAUGCAUCACAGUUCUUACGAUAUCGAACACAGCAUCAGAAUUCCGACUGUAUAGUGAAAUUAGAUGCAUUGAUAUAUUGACGUUCCAUGGGACUAAUGACCACUGGCUUCUGUCGGUCACGAGAGCGGCCGAAUUCGUACGCUUUAAGACCUACAAAACCACUUCAAAUUUAACGUUUGACAAUCGAAGGCGCUAGCUGGUAUCUCGCCAUCUAGUGAGAUGACAAGCGUGAGUCGACUUCAAGAACAUCUCAUCUCCAGGAGGAGCUAUGAGCCAG